GAUGAACGCUGGCGGCGUGCCUAAUACAUGCAAGUCGAGCGAACGGUCGAGAAGCUUGCUUUUCUGAUGUUAGCGGCGGACGGGUGAGUAACACGUGGAUAACCUACCUAUAAGACUGGGAUAACUUCGGGAAACCGGAGCUAAUACCGGAUAAUAUUUUGAACCGCAUGGUUCAAAAGUGAAAGACGGUCUUGCUGUCACUUAUAGAUGGAUCCGCGCUGCAUUAGCUAGUUGGUAAGGUAACGGCUUACCAAGGCAACGAUGCAUAGCCGACCUGAGAGGGUGAUCGGCCACACUGGAACUGAGACACGGUCCAGACUCCUACGGGAGGCAGCAGUAGGGAAUCUUCCGCAAUGGGCGAAAGCCUGACGGAGCAACGCCGCGUGAGUGAUGAAGGUCUUCGGAUCGUAAAACUCUGUUAUUAGGGAAGAACAUAUGUGUAAGUAACUGUGCACAUCUUGACGGUACCUAAUCAGAAAGCCACGGCUAACUACGUG
rnacentral:rRNA from 1 species